GAGUUUGAACAUGGCUCAGAUUGAACGCUGGCGGCAGGCCUAACACAUGCAAGUCGAGCGGAAACGAAGAGGUGCUUGCACCUCUGGCGUCGAGCGGCGGACGGGUGAGUAAUGCUUGGGAAUAUGCCUUAUGGUGGGGGACAACAGUUGGAAACGACUGCUAAUACCGCAUGAUGUCUACGGACCAAAGUGGGGGACCUUCGGGCCUCACGCCAUAAGAUUAGCCCAAGUGGGAUUAGCUAGUUGGUGAGGUAAUGGCUCACCAAGGCGACGAUCCCUAGCUGGUUUGAGAGGAUGAUCAGCCACACUGGGACUGAGACACGGCCCAGACUCCUACGGGAGGCAGCAGUGGGGAAUAUUGCACAAUGGGCGCAAGCCUGAUGCAGCCAUGCCGCGUGUGUGAAGAAGGCCUUCGGGUUGUAAAGCACUUUCAGUAAGGAGGAAAGGUUAAGUGUUAAUAGCACUUAGCUGUGACGUUACUUACAGAAGAAGCACCGGCUAACUCCGUGCCAGCAGCCGCGGUAAUACGGAGGGUGCGAGCGUUAAUCGGAAUUACUGGGCGUAAAGCGUACGCAGGCGGUUUGUUAAGCGAGAUGUGAAAGCCCCGGGCUCAACCUGGGAACUGCAUUUCGAACUGGCAAACUAGAGUGUGAUAGAGGGUGGUAGAAUUUCAGGUGUAGCGGUGAAAUGCGUAGAGAUCUGAAGGAAUACCGAUGGCGAAGGCAGCCACCUGGGUCAACACUGACGCUCAUGUAC
rnacentral:rRNA from 1 species